UACGAAGGGGGCUAGCGUUGCUCGGAAUUACUGGGCGUAAAGGGCGCGUAGGCGGCACAACUAGUCAGGCGUGAAAUUCCUGGGACUUAACCUGGGGACUGCGCUUGAUACGGUUGAGCUAGAGGACGGAAGAGGGUCGUGGAAUUCCCAGUGUAGAGGUGAAAUUCGUAGAUAUUGGGAAGAACACCGGUGGCGAAGGCGGCGACCUGGUCCGUUACUGACGCUGAGGCGCGACAGCGUGGGGAUCAAACAGGAUUAGAAACCC
rnacentral:rRNA from 1 species